CGAUAACGCAGCGAAAGCUGUGCUAAUACCGCAUACGAUCUACGGAUGAAAGCAUGGGAUCGCAAGACCUUGCGCGAAUGGAGCGGCCGAUGGCAGAUUACGUACUUGGUGAGGUAAAGGCUCAGCAUCCCUUCGAUCUGUACCUGGUCUGAGAGGACGACCAGCCACACUGGGACUGAGACACGGCCCAGACUCCUACGGGAGGCAGCAGUGGGGAAUUUUGGACUAUGGGCGAGAGCCUGAUCCUGCCAUGCCGCGUGCACGAUGAAGGCCUUCGGCUUGUAAACUGCUUUUGCAUUGAACGAAACGGACUUUUCUAAUAAAGAGGGCUAAUGACGGUACCGUAAUAAUAACCACCGGCUAACUACGUGCCAGCAGCCGCGGUAAUACGUAUGGUGCA
rnacentral:rRNA from 1 species